rnacentral:rRNA from 1 species
ACGGGUGAGUAACACGUAUCCAACCUGCCGUCUACUCUUGGCCAGCCUUCUGAAAGGAAGAUUAAUCCAGGAUGGCAUCAUGAGUUCACAUGUCCGCAUGAUUAAAGGUAUUUUCCGGUAGACGAUGGGGAUGCGUUCCAUUAGAUAGUAGGCGGGGUAACGGCCCAUCUAGUCAACGAUGGAUAGGGGUUCUGAGAGGAAGGUCCCCCACAUUGGAACUGAGACACGGUCCAA